CUCAGCAGAGGAACGACUGGAGGGAUGCUGCUGCUACAGGGAGAAGGUGAGAGGAGGAGAGAGCUCAAUCACACAGGCACAGAUCAAACUAAAAUCACUUCGGAUGGAUUUUCGACGCCCCAAAUCUGCCAAAGUAAAGAAGAAUUCGCGGUCAGCUGUUAACCCAAAUCAGCGGAGAGGAAAGUAUUCAGGUGUGCCACAGCCAUCCGUGGAUUGGAGGAGGAGUUCAGGCCCGACCCUGUGAUUGGCUGCAGCUGGGGAAGCAACCCGGUUAUAAGGAGCCAAGAUGGCGGCGUCUGGUGGGCAGCAGGCACUUCCUCAUCCUCCUAAUCUCCCAACCGGCCACUCCUUUUGUGCUUUUUGGUUUAGAUUGGAUAUUGAUUUUCGUUUGUUUAGUAAGGGUGGACCUCCAGAUGUGUUGAGGUUGUUUUCUUGUAUUUUUGUUAGUUAGGGAGGUAAGUCUUUUGUCUUUUGUUUUGCCCAUUUGUUUGUUAGGUUAGUUGCUUAUCUCUCAGUUAGGAUUGUUUUGUUUGUUACUUUUAUGGUAGGCCACCC